rnacentral:rRNA from 1 species
UACAGAGGGGGCAAGCGUUAUUCGGAAUUAUUGGGCGUAAAGGGCGCGUAGGCGGCCAUUCAAGUGACGGGUGAAAGCCCUCGGCUUAACCGAGGAACUGCCUGUCAGACUGGAUGGCUUGAGACCGGGAGAGGUGAGUGGAAUUCCCAGUGUAGCGGUGAAAUGCGCAGAUAUCGGGAGGAACACCUAUGGCGAAGGCAGCUCGCUGGGACGUUACUGACGCUGAGACGCGAAAGCGUGGGGAGCAAACAGG